GGACAGAGUCCCUGUCUCAUAACGGACAAGGAUGGCUUGCAGAGGAACUGAGUAUGUAACAUCUCUUGCCUGAGGAUACCUGAAGUGAAAGGGACAGAGUCCCUGUCUCAUACCGGACAAGGACGGCUUGCAGAGGAACUGAGUAGGGAACAUCAGAUGAAGUUGGAAGAAGCCUAACAUUGCCUGCCCUGAUGUCAUCAGUUGAAGCUCUCUUGCCUGAGGAUACCUGAAGUGAAAGGGACAGAGUCCCUGUCUCAUAACGGACAAGGACGGCUUGCAGAGGAACUGAGUAUGGAACAUCAGAUGAAGUUGGAAGAAGCCUAACAUUGCCUGCCCUGAAGUCCUCAGUUGAGCUCUCUUGCCUGAGGAUACCUGAAGUGAAAGGGACAGAGUCCCUGUCUCAUACCGGAAAAGGACGGCUUGCAGAGGAACUGAGUAUGGAACAUCAGAUGAAGUUGGAAGAAGCCUAACAUCGCCUGCCCUGAAGUCCUCAGUUGAAGCUCUCUUGCCUGAGGAUACCUGAAGUGAAAGUUUCAGGGACAGAGUCCAUGUCUCAUACCGGACAAGGACGGCUUGCAGAGGAACUCAGUAAGGAACAUCAGAUGAAGUUGGAUGAAGCCUAUCAUUGCCUGCCCUGAAGUCAUCAGUUGAAGCUCUCUUGCCUGAGGAUACCUGAAGUGAAAGUUUCAGGGACAGAGUCCAUGUCUCAUACCGGACAAGGACGGCUUGCAGAGGAACUCAGUAAGGAACAUCAGAUGAAGUUGGAUGAAGCCUAUCAUUGCCUGCCCUGAAGUCAUCAGUUGAAGCUCUCUUGCCUGAGGAUACCUGAAGUGAAAGGGACAGAGUCCCUGUCUCAUACCGGACAAGGACGGCUUGCAGAGGAACUGAGUAUGGAACAUCAGAUGAAGUUGGAAGAAGCCUAACAUUGCCUGCCCUGAAGUCAUCAGUUCAAGAUCUCUUGCUUGAGGAUACCUGAAGGGAAAGUGACUACAGGUUAUGCUUGUGUUUGGUGAAGCCUAACAUUGCCUGCCCUGAAUCAUCAGUUGAAGCUCUCUUGCCUGAGGAUACCUGAAGUGAAAGGGACAGAGUCCCUGUUUCAUACCGGAGAAGGACGGCUUGCAGAGGAACUGAGUAUGGAACAUCAGAUGAAGUGGAUGAAGCCUAACAUUGCCUGCCCUGAAGUCAUCAGUUGAAGCUCUCUUGCCUGAGGAUACCUGAAGUGAAAGUGACUACAGGUUAUGCUUGUGUUUGGUGACCUGAGACGGUUUGAACUGACACUUUCUCUGUGGUGAUCAAUGUCAGAUACCACAGCAAUGGCACUCACAUGAAUUUAGUACCAGUCAAAACCUGAAUAGGAGAUAUAUGAGCAUGGACAGAGAAAGAGAGAAAGAACAAUUGUUGAAGAGGCUAAGCAUGUGUGAGACAGAGGAAGACAGUGAGAGACAGAAAGAGAGAGGGGGGGGAGAAAGGGGGGUGAAGUGGAAAAGAGGACACUGUGAUAUUAAAGCAGAUAUCUUGAUUGACAGAAA
rnacentral:sRNA from 1 species